GAUGAAGAACGUAGCGAAAUGCGAUAAGUAAUGUGAAUUGCAGAAUUCAGUGAAUCAUCGAAUCUUUGAACGCACAUUGCGCCCCCUGGUAUUCCGGGGGGCAUGCCUGUCCGAGCGUCAUUACAACCCUUAAGCUCAGCUUGGUGUUGGGCCCCGCCGCCCCGGCGGGCCCUAAAGUCAGUGGCGGUGCCGUCCGGCUCCGAGCGUAGUAAUUCUUCUCGCUCUGGAGGUCCGGUCGUGUGCUCGCCAGCAACCCCCAAUUUUUUUCAGGUUGACCUCGGAUCAGGUAGGGAUACCCGCUGAACUUAAGCAUAUCAAUAAGCGGAGGA
rnacentral:misc_RNA from 1 species